GCCUGGGUGGCUCAGUCGGUUAAGCAUCUGACUUCGGUUCAGGUUAUGAUCUCGCUGUUUGUGAGUUCAAGCCCCACAUCAGGCU
rnacentral:tRNA from 1 species